rnacentral:rRNA from 1 species
ACGAACGCUGGCGGCGUGCUUAACACAUGCAAGUCGAACGGAAAGGCCCUGCUUUUGUGGGGUGCUCGAGUGGCGAACGGGUGAGUAACACGUGAGUAACCUGCCCUUGACUUUGGGAUAACUUCAGGAAACUGGGGCUAAUACCGGAUAGGAGCUCCUGCUGCAUGGUGGGGGUUGGAAAGUUUCGGCGGUUGGGGAUGGACUCGCGGCUUAUCAGCUUGUUGGUGGGGUAGUGGCUUACCAAGGCUUUGACGGGUAGCCGGCCUGAGAGGGUGACCGGCGACAUUGGGACUGAGAUACGGAGCAGUCUCCUACGGGAGGCAGCAGUGGGGAAUAUUGCACAAUGGGCGGAAGCGUGAUGCAGCAACGCCGCGUGCGGGAUGACGGCCUUCGGGUUGUAAACCGCUUUCGCCUGUGACGAAGCGUGAGUGACGGUAAUGGGUAAAGAAGCACCGGCUAACUACGUG